UGGGGAAUAUUGCGCAAUGGGGGCAACCCUGACGCAGCAACGCCGCGUGAUUGAAGAAGGCCUUCGGGUUGUAAAGAUCUUUAAUCAGGGACGAAAUUUGACGGUACCUGAAGAAUAAGCUCCGGCUAACUACGUGCCAGCAGCCGCGGUAAUACGUAGGGAGCAAGCGUUAUCCGGAUUUACUGGGUGUAAAGGGCGAGUAGGCGGGCUGGUAAGUUGGAAGUGAAAUCCCGGGGCUUAACCCCGGAACUGCUUUCAAAACUGCUGGUCUUGAGUGAUGGAGAGGCAGGCGGAAUUCCCAGUGUAGCGGUGAAAUGCGUAGAUAUUGGGAGGAACACCAGUGGCGAAGGCGGCCUGCUGGACAUUAACUGACGCUGAGGAGCGAAAGCGUGGGGAGCAAACA
rnacentral:rRNA from 1 species